GACGAACGCUGGCGGCGUGCUUAACACAUGCAAGUCGAACGAUGAAGCUGGAGCUUGCUCUGGCGGAUUAGUGGCGAACGGGUGAGUAACACGUGAGAAAUCUGCCCUUGACUCUGGGAUAACUGCGGGAAACUGUAGCUAAUACCGGAUACUUUCCCUGGUGGGCAUCCACUGGGGAAGAAAGAAUUUCGGUCAAGGAUGAUCUCGCGGCCUAUCAGCUUGUUGGUGAGGUAAUGGCUCACCAAGGCGACGACGGGUAGCCGGCCUGAGAGGGCGACCGGCCACACUGGGACUGAGACACGGCCCAGACUCCUACGGGAGGCAGCAGUGGGGAAUAUUGCACAAUGGGCGCAAGCCUGAUGCAGCGACGCCGCGUGAGGGAUGAAGGUCUUCGGAUUGUAAACCUCUUUCAGUAGGGACGAAGCGAAAGUGACGGUACCUAAAGAAGAAGCACCGGCUAACUACGUGCCAGCCGCCGCAGUAA
rnacentral:rRNA from 1 species